GGGUCUUACUGAGCUAUGUUACAAUUAAUUUGACAUUUAAAGGCUUUAAUUUUAACUCUUUGGUUAAUUACUAAAAAAUAACGUUUAUAAUAUUUUACAAGAUGUAACCAUGGAAAUAAUUAUAAUCUUAUAAUAUGUAAAAUAGUUUGAAUAAUAUUUAUCAUUGAACAAAUCUUGCAAAUUUAUGCGUGUUAAUUAUUGUGUGACCUUUCUGCACUAAAUAUUAACAUAUUUGAGGUAUUAAAAAACUAAAUAGGCAAUAAAAUAUUUUGUUAAAUCAAACUUUUAACGAAUUAAGUGCUGAUUAGUCACGAGUAUCGAGUACAUGUAGUUUAAAAUAAUGAAAUAAAAAUUUGGGGCCAGUGAUAUUAAUUUUGAAAUAUUGGUCAAAACGCGUGUUUUUUAGUUGGAAAACAGUGUAAUUUUUCUACAUAUCUUCAUUUCUCGGCAACGUUUGUUGAGGGAAGGUGUAAAAUUUGUUCUAAAUAUAUAGAUUUAGACCUUAGAAAAUAUUCUCUGAUUGAAAGUAUAUGGACUAAAGUUCCAAGAUAUUAAUUUUAUUAAAUAUGCAGAAUUUUCUGCUUAAUAUCCUUCCACCACAAGAAAUAAUCCCUCAUAAAUGUUUCUUCUUUGUGGAUUUUUGAGCAGUUUUUCAUUGAAUGUUGAAUAAAAUAUAUUGUUUUAUUUACAUAUGUUAUAAAAAUUGAAUUAUAACAAAGAGUUUUGAAGUAAGGGGCUCUGUGUGAACUUUUCUAAAAAGCUGACGAGUGACAUACGUUAAUUCAUUCGCAUGAUCAACACAAUCUUUCUUUUUUUAUUCCUUUUUUCUGUUUUUUUUUAAGACAUGGUUUAAUAAGAAAAUGUACAUACAUAUUUUUUUCCAUUUGUAAUUUUUUAUGUUCAAUGUAUUCUUUCAUUUUCAUUUUAGAAAUACAAAAAAAAUGUUUUAAAACUCUUUAUUUUUUUCAUUUAAACUAAUGCUUGUUAAGUAAAAGUUUAGGGUUUUGUUCACUGAUCUUGUCAAGAAGCACACUACAAGUUAAAGCGAUCGACAGUGGAUGCUUACUCCUCCAUAUGGCACCUGAUCCCAUCUAUGAUAUUUUACAGGUUUCUGCAUCUCUUCGCAGUUGAAAUUUCAUCUCGUAUAGAACCCUGAAUCCAUUUGGAAAUACAGGUUACAACGGACUUUUCAAUGGAAGAGGGAUUUGAUACAACAUAUAUCUCCUAGCUUCAGAUGGCCUUGAUAUCAACGACUUUGACCGUUCGGCAAGGAAAUCUUACUCCUCCAUGGCACCUGAUCCCAACCUCUGACGGUUGGAGGUCCAUAUCUGCUCCACUCCUAUUUUGAAAUGUCUAAUGGACUUUGAGCUCGAAUAGUAUUCGUUACCUCCUCAUAUAUUUGAAGUGCCAUGAAAGUGAAAGUGAUAGCCCAGAUUUUAGAGUUCAGUAAUUAACUUAGACAUAUAACAUUUGUCAGGAUCAUGAUAAAGCAUUUAAUUUGAAUCAUUCCAUUGAAGGAUUAUGGGUAUAUAAACCUGGAAACCAUUUAAAUAUGCAGUUUGAUCUUUAAAAAACAAUCUUGAG